rnacentral:lncRNA from 1 species
UGAAAUUUGGUCCAAAAUGGGCUAAGAAUCCACAACCAUUGCUUUGAAGAAUUAAAUGACUUGUCUAGUGUUGUUUGGGGUUAGAAUAUGUUAGAAUACAAUAAAUUUGAUUGAUUACAAGGGCUAGAGGUGCAUGAAGAGUGUUUAGAAGUGUGGAGAAAGACUUGUUGAAAUUGAGUCCCAAAUGGGAUAAAAACUCGGAAACUUCGCGUUGAACCACUAAAUUACUUAUUUAGUGUUUUUUGGGGUUAGAAUUUGUUAUAAUACAAUGAAGUUGAUUAAUUACAAGUAAUAGAUAUAGAUAAAGAGUGUUUAAAAGUGUGUAGGAAGACUUGCUGAAAUUUGGUCCAAAAUGGGAUAAGAAC